rnacentral:rRNA from 1 species
GAUGAACGCUGGCGGCGUGCCUAAUACAUGCAAGUCGAGCGAACGGACGAGAAGCUUGCUUCUCUGAUGUUAGCGGCGGACGGGUGAGUAACACGUGGAUAACCUCCCUAUAAGACUGGGAUAACUUCGGGAAACCGUAGCUAAUACCGGAUAAUAUUUUGAACCGCAUGGUUCAAAAGUGAAAGACGCUCUUGCUGUCACUUAUAGAUGGAUCCGCGCUGCAUUAGCUAGUUGGUAAGGUAACGGCUUACCAAGGCAACGAUGCAUAGCCGACCUGAGAGGGUGAUCGGCCACACUGGAACUGAGACACGGUCCAGACUCCUACGGGAGGCAGCAGUAGGGAAUCUUCCGCAAAGGGCGAAAGCCUGACGGAGCAACGCCGCGUGAGUGAUGAAGGUCUUCGGAUCGUAAAACUCUGUUAUUAGGGAAGAACAUAUGUGUAAGUAACUGUGCACAUCUUGACGGUACCUAAUCAGAAAGCCACGGCUAACUACGUG